rnacentral:lncRNA from 1 species
UUGCAACUUUUUCACUCCUUUCAUUUUACCUUCUUCUUCUUCUUCUUUGUGCAGCACCUUGCUUUCUCCAUACCAAUCUCUUUCCAACUAAUCUUUCCUCAAAGAGAGAGGAGUGUUUUAGAGAUUAGCUCGUCAAAAGAAAAGGAGCAGUUAGUUAGAAGAGUUUCUUCUUUCAUUUUUAUCGAUUUUUUAUUAUUCGAUGUCAUUGGUUCAAGUGAAAAGAUGACAAACAAAGCAUAAUAUGGGCAAGAAAAAAAGUAAGUCCUCGUAUUGAAUACAUGAAAUUGAAUUCCUGAUUCUUAAUUAAUUAUUAAAGUUUCUUAAUGGGUGGAUUUGAUUAGUUUUUUCUCUGUUUCUUCAUGAUGAACAUAUAAAUAUUUAGUUCUAUAUUUUUAGAGACUAUUGAUUUAAAAUGUUCUUUUGCGUCUAAA